GACGAACGCUGGCGGCGUGCUUAACACAUGCGAGUCGAGCGGUAAGGCUCCUUCGGGAGUACACGAGCGGCGAACGGGUGAGUAACACGUGAGCAAUCUGCCCUUCACUUUGGGCUAACUUCCGGAAACGAAAGCUAAUACCUAAUACGACCACUUCAGGCAUCUGAUGGUGGUGGAAAGUUCCGGCGGUGAAGGAUGAGCUCGCGGCCUAUCAGCUUGUUGGUGAGGUAACGGCUCACCAAGGCCUCGACGGGUAGCCGGCCUGGGAGGGUGACCGGCCACCCUGGGACGGGGACACGGCCCAGACUCCUACGGGAGGCAGCAGUGGGGAAUAUUGGACAAUGGGCGAAAGCCUGAUCCAGCAACGCCGCGUGAGGGAUGACUGCCUUCGGGUUGUAAACCUCUUUCAGCGGGGACGAAGCGAAAGUGACGGUACCCGCAGAAGAAGCACCGGCCAACUACGUGCCAGCAGCCGCCGUAACAC
rnacentral:rRNA from 1 species